rnacentral:rRNA from 1 species
CGGUGGAUGCCCUGGCAGUCAGAGGCGAUGAAGGGCGUGCUAAUCUGCGAUAAGCGCCGGUAAGGUGAUAUGAACCGUUAUAACCGGCGAUACCCGAAUGGGGAAACCCAGUGUGACUCGUCACACUAUCAUUAACUGAAUCCAUAGGUUAAUGAGGCGAACCGGGGGAACUGAAACAUCUAAGUACCCCGAGGAAAAGAAAUCAACCGAGAUUCCCCCAGUAGCGGCGAGCGAACGGGGAGGAGCCCAGAGCCUGAAUCAGCAUGUGUGUUAGUGGAAGCGUCUGGAAAGGCGCGCGAUACAGGGUGACAGCCCCGUACACAAAAGCGCAUGUGCUGUGAGCUCGAUGAGUAGGGCGGGACACGUGGUAUCCUGUCUGAAUAUGGGGGGACCAUCCUCCAAGGCUAAAUACUCCUGACUGACCGAUAGUGAACCAGUACCGUGAGGGAAAGGCGAAAAGAACCCCGGCGAGGGGAGUGAAAAAGAACCUGAAACCGUGUACGUACAAGCAGUGGGAGCACCCUUUGGGUGUGACUGCGUACCUUUUGUAUAAUGGGUCAGCGACUUAUAUUCUGUAGCAAGGUUAACCGAAUAGGGGAGCCGGAGGGAAACCGAGUCUUAACCGGGCGUUAAGUUGCAGGGUAUAGACCCGAAACCCGGUGAUCUAGCCAUGGGCAGGUUGAAGGUUGGGUAACACUAACUGGAGGACCGAACCGACUAAUGUUGAAAAAUUAGCGGAUGACCUGUGGCUGGGGGUGAAAGGCCAAUCAAACCGGGAGAUAGCUGGUUCUCCCCGAAAGCUAUUUAGGUAGCGCCUCGUGAAUUCAUCUCCGGGGGUAGAGCACUGUUUCGGCUAGGGGGCCAUCCCGGCUUACCAACCCGAUGCAAACUGCGAAUACCGGAGAAUGUUAUCACGGGAGACACACGGCGGGUGCUAACGUCCGUCGUGAAGAGGGAAACAACCCAGACCGCCAGCUAAGGUCCCAAAGUCAUGGUUAAGUGGGAAACGAUGUGGGAAGGCCCAGACAGCCAGGAUGUUGGCUUAGAAGCAGCCAUCAUUUAAAGAAAGCGUAAUAGCUCACUGGUCGAGUCGGCCUGCGCGGAAGAUGUAACGGGGCUAAACCAUGCACCGAAGCUGCGGCAGCGACACUGUGUGUUGUUGGGUA